UGUUGGAUCCAACAUAGGGUUAUUGGUUUAAUGAUCUACAUUGAUAUUUCAUAUUAUAGGCCUACUGUGUCUGUCCUAUGCAGUUGUGCAGACUUUCCUUGAUCUGCAUUGGUAUUUCAUAUUAUUGCUGCACUUGUCUAUAGUUAAGAACAAACUUAUAUAAUCUGCAUUGGUAUUUCAUAUUAUAGUGAACCCGUUCUAUAUGGUUCAAGAGAACUUUAAUGAUCUGCAUUAAUAUUUCAUAUUACCUGUGAAAGGAUAGUAUUGAAGGUACAUAAUACACACAGUUGAUGAUAAGCAUGAUUUCAGUUUAGUUUUACACCACACAACACUCAUUUUUAUUUUGUUUCAUACACACUGAAUUGACAUGCAUUGACUUCCAUCAUAUUUUCUAUAACACAGAACCCUUUUCCUAUAACCUGAUUGGUGUGCAUGUGUUAUUGUGGGUUGGAACGGCUUAAUACAGUAAUAAGUAUUCAUUACCGCAGUCCUCCUGUAUGAACCUAAGGAUAAGACAAGGAGACCUGAUUUUUUAGACGAUUUAUUAGAUACCAGAGCCUACCUAGGUAGGCAGAGUUACACAGACAUGGUCCUUUAUGUGGAUGGUUCAGCCUCCAGAAACCCAGGGACGGGAAAGAACAAAGUAGAUUUUGCCAUAGUCUCAGAUCACGAGGUCCUCAAGGCUCGUGUCUGCCCUCAAACCUGUCGACGCAGGCCGCAGAGCUCUGUGCCCUUAUCGAGGCAUGCAAAUUAGCUGCAGGGCAAUCUGUCAAUAUUUUUACGGACAGUAGGUACACAUUCGGCAUUGUGCAUGAUUUUGGCACCAUUUGGAAACACAGAAAUUUUCUCACUUGCACAGGAUCUCCCAUUGCACAUCAUAAACUGGUCUCUGAGUUGUUGGAUGCUAUUCUACUCCCUAGAGCCAUUGCUGUGUGCAAGUGUGCUGCCCAUACUAACAAUACUGAUCUUGUGUCUCAAGGAAAUGACUGGGAGGACGCGGCAACUAAGUGUGCAGCCUCAGCUUCCAGUUCACCCUCUAACCUUGCUUUUCCUCAGGUUUCUACCUCCUGUUUACAGCUAGUGGACCUUCAGAGCACUGCCACCCAGGAUGAGAGACGAGUCUGGAAACAGGCCAGCUGUAUCUUUGCAAACUUGGUCUAGGUUUGUCCUUCAGGCCGCCCCUGUCUACCAAAACACGUUCCCUUUCUAUGCAAAAUUGGCACAUGGGCUCACCCAUGUGUCAAAAGGGGGGGAUGGUAGCAGAAGUAACAGAGAUGGUUCACAAAGGGGUUUUCAAAUUAUGCUGCGAAAUUUUGCAAGCAAUGCUUGAUAUGUGCAAAACAUAAUGAUGGUCAAGGUAUCAAACUAACUCAAGCAGCACACCUAAUACCAGACAAACCAUUUGAUCAUCUCCAAAUGGACUUCAUUGAACUGACACCUAGUGAAGGGAAAAGGUAUUGCCUGGUAAUAGUUGACAUGUUUUCAAAAUGGGUUGAAGUAUUCCCCACAGCUAAACAAGACUCAGAGGUGGUAGUCAAAGCACUCCUGAGAGAUAUAAUUCCUAGGUGGGGUAUACCUAACAAAAUCUCAAGUGACAAUGGAACACCUUUGUUAAUGCAGCCCUAAAGAAAAUAGGAGCAUUCCUAGGGAUAGACCUGAAACAACAUUGUAAUUACCAUCCUGGCAGUGCAGGAGCAGUAGAGAGGGAAAAUGGGUCCCUUAAAAUAAACUAAGCAAAGUUUGUGCAGAAACAGGGCUAGGAUGGACAAAGGUCCUCCCUGUAGUACUCACACAAAUGAGGAUGCAAACUAGGCCUAAAUAUUGGUUAAGCCCAUUUGAAAUUCUGUUUGGACGAGUACCCAACACGGGGAUAGGGCCAGCCCAAGGAACACUGCCAGACACCACACUGUGUGAUGAUGCAAUGUUGAAUUACUGUGCAAUGCUGUCCUCUGCUUUGAAAUCUAUCCACAAACAGGUAAAAGAAGCACUUCCCAAGCCCCCCUGAGGGACUUCUGCAUGAUCUACAACCAGGGGAUUGGAUAGUGGUGAAGGACUUCCGACGAACCAAGUGGAACAAGCCACGGUGGAAUAGCCCAUUCCAGGUCCUGCUCACGACCCCAACGGCAGUGAAAGUCACAGGCAGAGUGACAUGGAUCCACGCUAGCCACUGCAGGAGGGUUCCUGAACCGGCUGAGCAGGAGGGAAAAGAAGGCCUAAGUGACCCAGACACUGACUACAGCUCAUGAGGAAGAAAGGCAUCACUACAUGGAACAGUAGGCAGCUGACAAAUAUUGGUUACCAGAUGGUGAAAAUAGACCCAGAUGACUGGUCUGCAAACCCGCAUGAAGACUACAACCCACCAUUUGACGACAUCAGCAUAGCUGAUAUGAAAUUAGCCCUAGCUUAAAACACACUCAUUUGUGGUUGCUUUUCUAUUCUAUUGUUUCCUGACCUAUGUAUAUAGCUUGCUAGUGUUAUGCUGGGAUUCAAACCUGGUUCGCUGGUGUGAUAAUCCAGCAAACCCCCACUAGGCCACCAGGGGAAUGACUCAAAUGCAGAGGCGUGAGGUGGAAGUAGAAAAAGUAUCAAAAGGUUUAUUUACAUUAUUUACAAUCCAAGGCAAAAACAAAAGUAUAAUCCAAAUGCUCAGAAGAUAACCAGGAAAAAAACAAAAGUUCAAAGAAACAAAGAGCCAAAAAACCAGAAAAGAAGAGGCAAAAAUACAAAUGCUCAGAGGAUCCAAAACGGUAAACACAAAGUCCAAAAAGUCCAAAAGAAAGCAAAGUACAAAAACCACAAAGACAUGGGCGAGGAAAUCGGAACAGAGGUAACUGGAGCUAAACAUAACAGCACAAAGACUCCAUGACAAGAGGACUGAACUCAGGGGUAUAAAUACACAAACUAAUUAAGGACAGGGCGGGGCAGGAAACAGGCAAUGAGACAAAAACAGAACACAGUGGUGACCUCUAGAGGCCCAAAACAAACAUGACCAGAAAGGAAAUAACAGUGGCCUCUAGAGGCCAAAACAGUCCCAGUCCUAACAGCUAGCAUUAACUUAAGACAUCUAUGUCUUACAAAACAGCCUUAGCAUUAUCCCUGUACACUCAAUGACAUGUUAAGUUGAAUCUCUCUGGGAACUCUUACCACUGAAAUUGUGUACAUUUCUUUCUUUAGCAAUUAUUAUCCUGUAGGAUAAAAAGGGGGGAAAUAUGAGGGAAAUUUAGUGGAUGAACAUUCCUAUUCUCUGUGUUUCUGUGUGUUGAGCUCAAGUGGCCUAGUGUACUGUACUGAGAAAGUUGUUUUUCCCAUGUUGUAAUUGCCUUUCUGUGGCCUUGGUGGUGAUAAGCAGGGUGCCUGAGUUCUCCCUAACUACACAUCCGCCUGCACAUACCAGAGCAUGCCAGGUGCAUGCUUUAACAAAGUUUCAAAGAAAAUAUUGAGCCAAUCACGUGAAGACGCGAGCAGUAAGCGAAUGCCUUUAGAGUAUAAUAGAUAACAGCUACUAAAACACAACUCAGAGUGCGCGUACUCUCAGCAUCACUGAAGUGGUGUCUUCUUCUAUUCUUCUCUUUCCUUUCCUAUUUUAUAUAUCUUUUAUAUGAUCUACAAUAAUAAAUAACUGAAAAGACAA